rnacentral:rRNA from 1 species
AAUGGCCGCGGUAAACUGACCGUGCAAAGGUAGCAUAAUUAUUAGUCUUUUAAUUGAAGGCUUGUAUGAAUGAUUGGAUGAAAAAUAAGCUUUAUUAAAUAAAUUUAUUGAAAUUAUAUUUUAAGUAAAAAUUCUUAAAUAAAUAAGUGGGACGAGAAGACCCUAUAGAGUUUAAGAUUAUCUUAUUUUAAAAAAUUUUAGAUUUAAUUAUUUUUUUAAAAAAAGAUAAUUUUUUGUUGGGGUGAUUUUAAAAAUUAUUAAACUUUUAAUUAAUAUUUCAUUAAUAUAUGUUAUAAUGAUCCAAUUAUUUUGAUUAAAAGAUUAAAUUACCUUAGGGAUAACAGCGUAAUUAAUCUGAAGAGUUCAUAUCGAUAAAUUAGUU